AUUGAACGCUGGCGGCAGGCUUAACACAUGCAAGUCGAACGGUAACAGAGAAUAGCUUGCUAUUUUGCUGACGAGUGGCGGACGGGUGAGUAAUGCUUGGGAAUAUGCCAAAUGGUGGGGGACAACAGUUGGAAACGACUGCUAAUACCGCAUAAUGUCUUCGGACCAAAGCGGGGGACCUUCGGGCCUCGCGCCAUUUGAUUAGCCCAAGUGGGAUUAGCUAGUUGGUAAGGUAAAGGCUUACCAAGGCGACGAUCCCUAGCUGGUCUUAGAGGAUGACCAGCCACACUGGAACUGAGACACGGUCCAGACUCCUACGGGAGGCAGCAGUGGGGAAUAUUGCACAAUGGGGGAAACCCUGAUGCAGCCAUGCCGCGUGUGUGAAGAAGGCUUUCGGGUUGUAAAGCACUUUCAGCGAGGAGGAAAGGGUGUACUUUAAUAGAGUGCACCUGUGACGUUACUCGCAGAAGAAGCACCGGCUAACUCCGUGCCAGCAGCCGCGGUAAUACGGAGGGUGCGAGCGUUAAUCGGAAUUACUGGGCGUAAAGCGCGCGUAGGUGGUUAAUCAAGUCAGAUGUGAAAGCCCAGGGCUCAACCUUGGAACUGCAUUUGAAACUGGUUGACUAGAGUUUUGUAGAGGGUGGUAGAAUUUCAGGUGUAGCGGUGAAAUGCGUAGAGAUCUGAAGGAAUACCAGUGGCGAAGGCGGCCACCUGGACAAAGACUGACACUGAGGCGCGAAGGCGUGGGGAGCAAACGGGAUUAGAUACCCCGGUAGUCCACGCAGUAAACGAUGUCUAUUAGAAGUUUGUGGCUAUAUGCCGUGGGUUUCAAAGCUAACGCAUUAAAUAGACCGCCUGGGGAGUACGGCCGCAAGGUUAAAACUCAAAUGAAUUGACGG
rnacentral:rRNA from 1 species